rnacentral:other from 1 species
UAAUCCCUGCGAUGUACGUUAAGGCUUAUAUUCUUUGAACCAAUUCAUCAAAAAUGGUUGUGGAUUAUAGCGAUACUGUUGUGCGCUCCCUUUAAUGGAAGUGCCUGAUGUGUCCAUGAAACAACCGCCUUGAACCUUAUGGUUCAAGAUGAUGAUCUGCAGGCAUAUGUGGGGAGCUU